CUUUGGGAAUCGGGUGGACGUGACGGUCGCCAACCUGGUCAGGUCCUGACGGAAGCAGCCACAACGAUUUUUUUGCGGGUCGCCCGGUUCCUACUUCUU
rnacentral:SRP_RNA from 1 species